rnacentral:rRNA from 1 species
AGAGAUGUGUGAUGACGCAUAUCAAUAAGCGGAGGAAAAGAAACUAACAAGGAUUCCCUUAGUAACGGCGAGUGAAGCGGGAAGAGCUCAAAUUUGAAAUCUUCAAGGUUCUACCUUGACGAAUUGUAGUUUAUAGAAGUGUUUUCUGUUAGUGGAGUGGCAAAAGUUCUUUGGAAUAGGACAUCAUAGAGGGUGAGAAUCCCGUAUUUGGUCAUUCCUCCUAGCGUUGUGAUACACUUUCAACGAGUCGGAUUGUUUGGGAAUGCAGUCCAAAAUGGGUGGUAAAUUUCAUCUAAAGCUAAAUAUUGGCGAGAGACCGAUAGCGAACAAGUACCGUGAGGGAAAGAUGAAAAGAACUUUGAAAAGAGAGUUAAACAGUACGUGAAAUUGUCAAGAGGGAAGCGUUUGACACCAGUGUUGUUUUUCCGAAAAUCAAUUACGAAUGUUUUGUUUUUAAGAAGUUAUGACUUCAUCGGCUUGCUUCUCUCUUUACGAAACUUUCUUAAUGCACUUUUCGGUUAACAAGUCAACAUCAAUUUCUUUUGUUGUAAAAGGGUAUGAGGAAGGUGGCUUUCUUUUCGGAGAAAGUGUUUAUAGCCUUGUACCUCUGCAAUCGGAGAGAUUGAGGUCUGCAGCGUAGAUCCUUCGGGGUUAGAUACAUUUGUGCUAAGUUAUAGCUUUUCAUAGACAACUAGUUGACUAUGUUAAGUCUUGUAGCUUACUCGCCUAUGCUAUUUUACCUACGCUUAGGAUGUUGACGAUCAGCUGAGCGCG